GAGGGAGUGCUGGACUCAGAGGUAGAAAACCUGCUGCUGUCUGCUCCUGGGCUAAGUAUCCCUGAGCCAACUCUUGUCCUCUCAAA
rnacentral:pre_miRNA from 12 species